GACUGGAUAGCUCAAUCAGUACAGCAUGAGACUCUUAAUCUCAGGGCUGUGGGUAUGAUCCCCACGUUGGGCA